GCCCCUAUAGCUCAGUUGGUAGAGCAACUGACUCUUAAUCAGUAAGUCCAAGGUUCGAGUCCUUGUGGGGGCA
rnacentral:tRNA from 1 species